AGUGAACGCUGGCGGUAGGCCUAACACAUGCAAGUCGAACGGCAGCACAGUAAGAGCUUGCUCUUACGGGUGGCGAGUGGCGGACGGGUGAGGAAUACAUCGGAAUCUACUUUUUCGUGGGGGAUAACGUAGGGAAACUUACGCUAAUACCGCAUACGACCUACGGGUGAAAGCAGGGGAUCUUCGGACCUUGCGCGAUUGAAUGAGCCGAUGUCGGAUUAGCUAGUUGGCGGGGUAAAGGCCCACCAAGGCGACGAUCCGUAGCUGGUCUGAGAGGAUGAUCAGCCACACUGGAACUGGGACACGGUCCAGACUCCUACGGGAGGCAGCAGUGGGGAAUAUUGGACAAUGGGCGCAAGCCUGAUCCAGCCAUACCGCGUGGGUGAAGAAGGCCUUCGGGUUGUAAAGCCCUUUUGUUGGGAAAGAAAAGCAGCAGGUGAAUACCCCGCUGUUCUGACGGUACCCAAAGAAUAAGCACCGGCUAACUUCGUG
rnacentral:rRNA from 1 species